UGUUUUUAAAGAGAAGGGUAGGACGAAAGAAAAGGUUGAAUGACAUCGCUUCAUUUAUUAGAAAUAUAAACUAAAUUAUAUUAAUAAAAUACUUAGGUUUCAAAUGAAAAAAAAGAAAAAAAAAAAGUGAGGGGUUACUAUAUGGUUGUUUCAUACAAAAGUAAGAGAUCGUUUAGGCCCUGUUUGGAUGAGCAGUAAAUAAAUUUCAUAGAGUUUAAAUACCGUAGUUUUGGUCCAAAUAAAAUGAAGUAUUCUGUAACUCCAAAAAAAUUCCACGAGUUUAUUUUAAAAGCUGUUUGGAUACACAUUAUACAAUUCUACAGAAUUUCUGAUAAUCUUAAAAAAUUAGUCUUGAGAGUUUAAACUUAAAUUAUUAACUAUUAAAAUGACUUUAAGAUCUAAAAAUUUAAAAUAAAAGUUUAAAAUUAAAAUUAAAAUUAUUAACUAUUAAAUAAUUUUAAAAUUUAAAAUUUAAAAAUUAAAAUUUGAAAAAUUAGCCGUUGGAAAGGCUACAAAAGGAAAAAUUAGCCGUUGGAAAGGCUACAAAAGGAAUAAAUUUGAAAAUUUUGAAAAAUUAGUUUGAGAAGGCUAUUCUAACCACGACAAACCGUGUGUGACAAUAUUUGAAUACAUACAAAUAUGAACAAAAUAAUUACAAAAGGAAUAAAUUGAACACAAACUGAAGCUUCUACGGGCCUAAACAAAUUGACCAUCUAGCUUACAUUGAACACAAAUUGAAGACAAAAAUAAACCCAAAUCUGGACUUUAUUCUAACAUAGCCUGACCAAAAAUUAACCCAAUAAUCGCUUAUAAAUGCAAAAAAAUAAACUUCAAGCACACAUUUUAGCAUCCUAAGAAUGUGUCCAUUGUUUUUUGACCAGCUGAUAAAUGAUCAAGCAUAAAGAAUAAAGACAUUUGGCUUGAUGCUGUUUUUUGAACUCCUAGAGUUUCAUGUGUUAACAAGGACUGACCUGAGCACUUGGUAAUGGUUCGACCAAUUAGAUCAGCCGGCCGGUUCAAACCAAAUUUAAAACAUACAACAAGUUCAUCAAAGGAACUCACCUAACAAGAUUUUCACAGAUUCCCCUUCCAUCCAAUUUGGGAUAUCUACAACAAUAUAACUAAAACUGGCGAAUAAAUCUUUGCGCCUCUCUAGUCACAGGCAUGCUUGACAUUUCAUCAUCAGAUUUUUUAGCCAUGGCCAACAGAAACCAGUAUAAACUAGACGUAGUCAUAACAUAAUUAACUAUGCAUUAUUGCUCUGCCUCCUGAGAAAACAGCAGAAUGACCAUCCUACAUAUAAGUAUAAAACCUCGUUUUCUCUGAGUAUCGCCGUUAUUCAUCAAGUUGCAGGGUAGUCGGAACUAUCAAAAAGGAUAAACAAUUAGCACUUCAUCUAAGUCCUAAUGGCCUGCUUUAAUCAUCAACCAACUCAUUUGGAGUCACAAAAGAAAUUAUUGCAAACUCAAAUUAACAGCUGGCAUACUAUGGCUAAAUCCUGCCACCAUGAAAGGCAGAAGAUAGAGUUCAUGUGUUACAGAUAUCAAUUCUUACAUAAAGACCUAAUGAAGAUUAAUGAAUCAAUCAAAAUCUAACCUAUUGAAAAAAAAAAAAAAAAUCAGAUCAUUUCUUUGUUACCUGUUGGAGGAGCGAAAUGGGGCUGCCCUUCUCCGGCCAUUGCAAGGCGAGGGGCGAGAAGGGCGAGACAAGAUCGAGGCAAGAAAAUGGUGGCCGAGGUUAGUGCGGCGGCGACGGCAGCCGAGGUGAUAGUGACUUCGGCAGUAGCAGCGCACGAGAUGGCAGUGGAGAGCGGCGGCGGCAGCCCGAGAGAUGGCAACGGCGGUGGCCGAGAUCCACGGCGGCGGCGUCGGCGGCGGCUGAGGUGAGAGAGACGCGGUUCAGGUGAGAGAGAGAGGAUGGGAGGAAACGUGGAGAGGGUAAUGGGAGGGAGAGAGAAGCGCCAGAGAAAGUUGGGCGAGUGGGGAGGCGGCCCAAAAAAAUUAGCGUAAUUUUUUUUCCAGAGAAAAUUUUAGAGGUUACUUUUACUCUGUUUUUUAGGGUGUAGUUUAACUAUACCCUAUUUUGUUGGGGUAUUUUUGAAGCAUCCAAAUACCUCUUAGGAUUUUUUUCCUACACCCACAGCAUAGUUAUACUUUACUCCAAAAAAAUAACCAUCCAAACAGGGCCAUAGUUAGAUGUAAUUAUAAAUGCAGUGUAGUUGAAGAUGUAUAUAGUUAAAAAUGCAGUAAUUACAACUACAUGCGUCAUGUUUUGUUGGAUAUAGUAGAAAGCGUUGUAAUUAUAAAUAAUUUAUUUGGUUGCAUGUAGUUGAGAAAUAAUUUUUAAAUUGGUUUUUUUUAAUUACCGAAAAAGCUACUUUUUAUUAUUUUACAUAUAUAAUGGUAAGAUUACCUACAAUGUAAAAAACAAAAAUAUUUUUUGUUUAAAAAAUAAUUAGGGAUGUAAUUUUAUCUUUUACUUAAACUUACUCCCUCCAACUGUCGCAGUUGGAAUUGCAAUCAAUUUAAACGUAGUUCCAACUGCUACAAUUGGGCCUUCUCCUGCCUACUGCAGCAAUUGGAGUUAAAUAUAUUAAACUAAACACUAAAUUUGUAUUUGCAUGUAUUACAACAAAAAUAGUGUAUGGCAACACUUUUAAAUGUUGGUAUAGAUAAAAAAAAUGCUAUUGGCUAAAUUACCGACACUUUUUUAAAGUGUUGCUAUAUGUGGGGUCACUAUAUAUAGGGCUGUCUUGAUGUUUGGCACCCACUCCUCCAGCGACCUGUGGUGGAGAGACACGUGGCGAUCGUAGCCCUGUACAAUCGCUGCAAGAUUCUCGCGGUUGAACUCCAGCCAUCGAAACCCAACUUCGUUGGUUACAGUCGUGAAGGAGGAGAAGGGGAGAUGGUGACCAAUUUUUCUUUUUUCAUUCUUUUUCUAUUUGUAAUUGGAUCGAGUGGGCUGGAUGAGGUUGGAUAAGUAGAGGAACUUUUUAUUUUUAAUUAGAUUGGGCUUUAUAUUUAAACCUUAGUAAUUUUUUUUUUUAAAAAAAAUGGCAUAAAUAGAACACUUAUACAAAAGUAUCCCAAAAAUAUAUCUCUAUAAUCUAAUUUUGUUGUAGUAAUGAAAUUAUAACUACAAUGUAGUUGCAACUAUAUACAACUAAACGGUCACUAAAAGUAAGUGAGGUCGCUUUCAUCAGCAAAUAUUCAUUUGUUGUUUGAUUUAUUAUAAUUCUUUUUUCUUGACCGGAAUUUAAAUUUUUUAAAACAGCAUAAUUGUCUUCGGUUUAGUCCAAAUUAAAAUCAAUUAUUAAUAAAAAAUAGUAAUAAUAAAUUAACUUAUUUUUUAAUAUUUUAAAAUUUUGCAUUAUUCAUUUUCUAUCCAACAAACAGUUAUACAAACAAGCUCCAAUUUUGUAGUUAUACAAACAGACAACAAAACAUGAGUAAUUGUUACGUAAAUUCUAAUUUAUCAGAAAAAUUAUUUUAAUUUACACUUUAAAUUUGGUAAAAAUUACAAUACUAGUCAUAAAAAACAAACAGGGUCAUAGGAAACUAUUUUGUAUGUAUUUUGGUCUAAAUUCUGGAAAGUGAUUUUGUGGCAAAAGUAAUUUUAUUUUCAAAUUUGAUUACAGUUUUUAAAAAUUUUUAAUUUUAAAGGUCCAAAAUCAGAAGCAGUCAAAUUUGCUUCUUGAAAUCUAAUUUUGAUUUUGGACUGAAAUUUUAAAUUUUAAUUUUAAUUUUGGAUUCAAAUAUUAAAUACAAAUUCAAAUUUUAAUAUAAAAUUUAAAAUUUAAAAUUCAAAUAUCAAAUUUUAAAUUUUAAAUUUUAAAUUUUGAAAUUUUAAGUUUUAUAUUUUCAGCUUCAAAUUUCAACUUCAAAUUUCAAAUUUUAAUUUUAAAUUUCAAAGUUCAAAAUUUAAAUUUUAAGUUUCAACAUUCAAAUUUAGAUUUCAAAUUCAAAUAUAAAAAUUUAAAUUCUAGUUCAAAAUUCAAAUUUAAAAUUUUAAUUUUUUAAUUAAAAUUUAAAAAUUGAAUUAUUUGAAAAUAAAUUUUAGUAAAAAAAAUUAUUAUUUGCAGGCAGCAAAAUAAUUUACUAAACAGUCAGACAAAAUUACUUUAAAAAAAUUACUUUUAUUUAAAAUCAGCCAAACAAUCUAAAAUUUUUAGCCCAAAUUAAAAUUUAAAAUUAAAAUUAAUUAUGCAAAAAUUAUAUUUUUAACGGAUAGGCCGAAUAGACUCUCUACUCUCUAGUGGUACGAGAAAAGAAAGGACGAGCGAGUGACGGAAACUCCGCGCCCCCACCCUCCCGACAGCGAUCCCUGUCACAUAAAGCCGCGUUUCUGCAUUUCCUUCGGUUGGGUAAAUUGCAGCUGGUCCUUAAUUCCUCAAAUAUUUUUACAAUCAUUCCUACCUUUUCAGCAGCUUAGUUAGUUAAUUCACGAAUAAUAUGCAAAUUAUCCGCAAACAACAGUCACAAUGUAUAAAAUGCUUCGUUUAUGAAUUUUGUUUUCAAAAAAUCAGAACAAAAUGCAUUUUUUUCCUUGCUCCGAGUCUUUGCGAUCAAAAGGGUUUUCGCUGCAUUAUAUUCCGAAAAAUUCGAAUUUAGUGGCGAAAUAUAUUUUGAAAAAUUCGGAUUGACCAACGGUGGAAAGAUAAAAUUUGUCAAUAAAAUUUGGAUUGGGCGCCUGUGGAAAUAUGAAAUUUCUUGAAAUGGCGUCGCGCGACCACGGCUCCACAGAUCCCUACACCUUCUUGUGAGCAGUCGAGCAAGCUUACCCAUUCAAUUUUGAAGAAAACAUAGAGAUGGAGCUGCGGGAAAGAAGAAAGGAGGAGGAGCGAUGAGGAAGAAAAUCACGGCGCACCGAGAGUUGGGAAAUAGCGCGGUCCACGAGGCUGCACUUAGCCUCGUAGACUAUGUGGAGUGAUAGGUCCACGUGGACCUCUCACUCUCUCUCUGUUUAUAUAUACUAGUGUAGAAACCCACGCGUUGCGGUGGGUAGAGAGCAUUGCAAAUAGUCAAGAUAUUUUCAUACCUAAAAUUAAGGUAGCUGAAGAGAAGUAGGAGAAAAUAGAAAUAGCAACAAAACAAUCUUCUAAAAUUUCAAAGGAAAAUAACAUAUUGUACAUCAAGAAACUGUGAGACCCCAGAUAGUUCUAUAUAUGAGAUAUAAUAGGGCUAAACUCUUAACCCGGCUUAAGCAUUUUGGGUGGUGGCAAGGCCCAAGAGGUUAAGAGAGUUAAGCGUGCUAGGACGGGAGUAGUCCUAGGAUGGGUUACCCCUGGGAAGUCGGGGCGUCACAGAAACAAAAUUACCUUUAGCACAUUAGGAAAGAGAACUGCAAAAGUAGUGAAAAUAGCAUCUCCCAAAAUCCAGAAUAAUACAGGGCAUAAAAAAACAAUGGGGCAUUUUUUUUUUAAAUUUCUAAAAUACUCUACUAAAAGUUGUGUACUCUUUGUCUCCUAUGCCGCAUUUGCUUCCCUUUCACACCUCUUAUACAUAUCCAGUUAGCAAAUAUAAAUGCAAUUUUGUUGUCUUAACAAUUAACAUUUAGCUUCUGUAAUGGUGGCAAUAGUUUCAUAUGGAUUAUCUAUUCACAACUAAGAAUUUAUCAAAGUAGAACUUAUUUCUCAACUAAUAGAGAAUCAUUUCAGAGAGAGUUGAUUCAAAUGUAAAAAAAAAUUGUUGAGCAGAAAAACUAUAGCAACUUACCAUAAUAAGCAUUCAAAUAUAUAUACGAAUCAAGCAGUACUAAUGAACAAAAUAAUUUAAAUUGCAGAUCGAAAAGAAUAAGUUUCUACUUCAUUAAAUAUUUAUACCCAAGUGAAGCAAAUGAUAAAAAUUGUGAAAAAUUUAAUUGAAGCAACAAUAUAUGAAAGUACUCUCUUUAGCAACUCAUUAAGGUUCACGCAGUGAAGAGAUUCACCUAAGUACUCUGAACAUCAUUUAGUGUAAGAUUAUAAAGAGAAUCUUGUCAUGUCAAGCUCUCAAUAUGGGAUGGCCCAUCGCAGCCCCGGCACCUGACACCGGCCUUGCCCACGUCGCUGCAGGCUGCAGCCUUGUAAUGCCGUAAAUUGUUGGGCUUACUAUUGUAAGCUUAUCUAAAUGUUAAAGCUAAAUAAAAUAAAUCUUACUUUCCUUAAAUCAGUAUUAAAAUAACUGUAGAUGCCUUCUUAAAUUCAGAACCUCAAUCUUCAAAUUAAAAGGCAUAACUUAAGAAAAUAGCGGAUCAAACACAAUGAUCAAGGUUGGAAAGACUUCAUCCAUCUUUCCUGCAUAAUAAGGGCUCAAAAUAUUCCUAAAGAAGAAGAAACUAUGAUUCUAGUACCAAAUCAUUUUGCUAGGCUAAAGAAAGAGGAAGCAUUUCAGUAUCAUAUUUUAUAUCCAUCGACAACUUUAUAUCAAAAAAAUAAUCUCAAAAAGAAAAAAAAAGCAAAACCAUUUUUAAAGGAAUAAUAGAAAAGAUAUCAGAGUCCAUCAAUCAAAAUAGUCUUUGUCCCUCCCAUAAAAGAAUUUUAGCAAAUAAGAACCUUUACACCUAAAUUGAAGAGUGCUGCUAUUUCAAUUACGUGAAACAUAGAGAAACUCAAUAUCGAGAUUCAUAUAGAUCCUAUUCAGAGAUGAAUAAUGAAAACCUUAUCUACUUGAUGAGUGUCGUAGCUCCAUCCUAAAAAUAAACGUCGAAUAAGGCCUGUAAUAACUUAUAAGGACCAUCCAUGGCAAUAUGAAUAUUAUUAACUUAUAACCACAUAUAAAAAAGGAUAAAAUUGAUGCGACACAAUUUUUCUUAAUAUCAAAUUUUCUCCAUGUACUCUUGGAAUCCACAUGAUAAAAAUUUACAAUAGUCAAAUUGCUCAUCUUUGGCACCUUUUUUUAACCAUGAUAUUAAGAAACUAAGCUGCAACAAAAAUUAAUCUAAAAUCUGAAAUUUAAAUAUCUGAACAGGAGCUAACAGGAAAAAUUGAAUGCAAUUCGAAAAAUAUGUUGCUUUGAACUUAGAUAGUGAAUGAAUCAAAUGGGAAAAAUGUUGUGAUUUUAAUGGAUCUUUAUUUAGUGUCUCUAUGUUAACAACUUUUCUUAGGCAUUCUCUAGAACACCUUUCAUACAAUCUCAGAUUUUUUUUUUAUAUAAAAUAAAAGAAUAUAAUAAAAAUAAAAUAAAUUUUAAAAAAGAUUAGGAUUUCUUCAGACAACUUCAAAGCCAUCUCAGCCAUCCAUUGACGAUGGUGAAUGACCAAAAAACAAAUGGUAAAUUGCAAAGAGAAAAUUAGAACAAACCCAACACCACCACGAUUGCAAAUGCUAUGUGUAGAUGAUGAGGCUUUCUAGGAUUUCUAGCACUGCACUUUCUGCUCCCUAAAGUUUUGAAAUUUUCCUCCCACUUUCUCUCGCUCUCUCUGCUCGCGUGGGAACCUAUUUGUACCAAAGCAAUAGUUAGGGUUAGGGAUAUAGAUUCAUAGAAGAUGCGGCAAGAAAUUCGCCCAUUCCAAAGGUGAGGUUGGUGAAGAACCCAUCCAUACCAAUACCAAUCUCAAAAAAGAUAGAAAAAGGCAGGGGAGAAGAGGGCGAGCCAGGGAAAUGAGAGAGUGAAAGGAGCGACAAGAGAAGUAGGUAACGGAAAGGAGAGAUAGAUGAUAUGGCGGAGAGGGAAGAGAGAACGACCUACCAUAUGAAACGGAGAGGGAAGAGGGAACGACGCGAAGGAGAGAGCAGAGGAAACGCUCCACUGANUCCGACUGGUAUACUAUUGAUAGCACGAAGCAUUUGGUGCUAUCAAGUUUUCUGCUAUUAGAUUUACCUCUUUUAUCAUUUUCAUCCGUUCGAUUAUACUAUUCAACUAACCACACUCAACCCUAAAGGGCCCAUAUUAUUUUAACCACAUAUUUUUUAAUCAAAUGGCAGAAAAUUUAAUAGCACCAUAUAUAUGUAUGUAUGGAACUAGGCUGGAAUACUAUUAAUAGCACCAAGCUAUUGGUACUAUCAGUUUUUUAGUCAUUGAAUUGAGAAAUGUAUGGUUAGGAUGAUGUGAGCCUCAUAAGAUUGAGUGAGUGGUUGGUUAAAUAGUAUAAUCUAACGAGUAAAAAUAAUCAAAGGGUUAAAUCUAACGGUGAAAAACUUGAUAGCACCAAGCCCUUGGUGCUAUCGAUAAUAUUCCAGCCAGACUCUAUAUGUAUAAAUGUAUAAUUAAUUAACUAAUUAAAAAAUUAAUUAUUAGUGUGUUUAGGCAAUACAAAUAUUUAUAUUAAUUAACCAAUUAAUAUCUUGACCAAUCUAACUAAUUAAAUAAUUAAUUUAUUAAUUUAUUAAUUUAUGAAAUUAUUUAUGAUUAGUUAAUUUAUUAAUUUAUUAAUUUAUUAAUUAACAGUGCUCAUGGUUAAUAAAUUAAUAAUUAAUUAAUAUUCAUGGUUAUCUAACAAUAUGUAUGGUUAAUUAAUUAAUUUAUUCAUUAGAUUAUUAUUUAAUUAAUAUUUUAAUGUUGAUUAAUUAGGCAAAAUAUUAUUAUUUUAAAAUUAUAAUUACUCUUAUUCUUGCUAUUCCUAUCUAAUUACUAUUUUUUUUAUUUUUUAAAAAUAGCCAAAUUUUCAUCCAAACACAAUAUUAGUCUAAUUCCUUCUUAUUUUAAGAAUUAGAUCUGCAUUAGAAAUAACCAAGAACCGAGUAUUUCUAAAGAUUUGAGGACCAAAAUGAAACUAAGCUGAAAGCUUAGGGAUCAGUGGAGCAAUUUACCCAAAUUCUUUUAUGCAAAGAUUAUUAUUAUUAUUUUUUAAGAAUUGUCUGAAAAGUCAAGAGCUAUAUUAAAAAAAAAAAAAACAUCUUUUGGAUUCCCUCCUAUCCCGUUCCGUUGGAGCUCUCGUAACCCCGUUACACCCUCCCCCGUUACGUUGUGCUACACCGAAAUGUUACGUAAGCCCGGUGUUUACCGGUAGCAACCGGUUAAGCUAUAAUACGACCGCUUGGGAACACCGUCGAUCCCGCGAACCCCGCACGGAUCGCCACGAAGGCGACGGCUCCCAAUUGCCGAUUCCGCGUGUUGGGAUUCGCAGCCAACAGCGUGCGCCACGUGGCGCUUCAUCACUGGCUGCACGAGACUGCGAGGCUACGGCACGGGUGUCAUGUGACGGUGUCUCCAUCGCCACCUGUACGGAUCGCACGCAAAGAGAUUAUGCGACUCACUUCUUCUCCGUCCGUUCGAUUCUUACCGCAUCCCAUCCGUUUUGAGCAUCGCGGCACCAUAAUUACGUCUAUGCGGACGUUCGUUUUGCAGUUGGUGCGUCGUUACCUUUUUCUCGUCCGUGCAAGGGGGAGAAAAUAUAGGAAGCGAAAAUAUUUGCGGAAAAAGGAAACGCUUUUUUUUUUUUAAUUCGUAGGGAGUAAAAGCUCUCGGGCGAGGAGCAUCGCAUUUCGCAUCGCUUCUAAGGCAAGGGAGAAAAGGUGAAGCGGCGAGAAACCCUAGAAAACCCUUUUACUCCCACUCCCCUUUACACCCUCGUCGUCCCCAAAUCGCCUCCCAUUUUUGGCGGCUCCCGAUCGGAUAUAGUCGUCGAUUUCCCCCAAUGCAGCUCCGAUCUGCUCCGGUUCGAGCUCCAAUGGCGGCGCGAUCGGGAUUUGGUGCGGUUUCGAUCCACCGUAGGGGGUUGUCGCAGUGUGUGGGUGGGAUUUGAGCUCGGAUUGAUCCGUUAAUGGCGUCUCGGUCGGGUUCGAGGACGAAGAAGGCGUCGCCGGGGGCGGCGAAGCCGGCGAACUCGCCGGCUUCGUCGACAACUUCGUCGUCGAGGCCGGUGCCCGAGGCGUCGCUGGAUGAGCAGAGCUCGCCGCUGUCGUCGGCGGCGGCGAGGAGCAGGACGCAUGAGUUCUACGCGGAGAAUGCGGCGUUGGAUGUGGAGGGGUUCAAGGAGAAUGUCACGGUUACGGUGCGGUUUCGGCCGCUAAGGUUCGGUUUCUAUCUCCUCUGUUCUUCUUCUUUGAGAAAAAUGGUAAUGCAUGUUGUCUGAGUGGUCGGAGUUCGGUGUCCGUGAAGCCCGCGGGAGAUUAGGCAGGGGGAGGAGAUAGCUUGGUACGCGGAUGGGGAUAUAAUUGUGAGGAACGAGCACAAUCCAUCCUUGGCGUAUGCAUAUGGUAUGUGGUAUGUGUUGCAGUAAAAUUAGUUUGAACAUUUUGAAGCUGAAUGUUAUUAGCGUUGAUAUCUACCAUGAAUCUUAAAAUUUGUUUGGCUUGAGAUUUCACUUUAAGAGAAGAAAUUGAUUUUAAGUUAUUUUUAAGUCAAAGCAGAAAUGCCCAAGCUGAAGUCAUUUGUGUAGCUUGAGUAACAACAGAGGAAGCACAAAAACUAUGAUAACUUGUAGGAACUUGCACUUGUUCGAAUAUAUUCUGCUCAGCAAUUUUAUCACGAAUAUUGCUUUCUCAAAUGAAUUGUUGGAAUUCUAGUUUAUCCAGUCUUAUGAUUCUUACACUUCAGUGAAGAAAAGUAAGCUCUUCUAUGUUAUUUGUAUCUGGUAUGUGUGGCUUCAAGCAAACAAUAUAAUACUUGUGAAAUUACCAGUAACCUCAGGUCUUCUAUUCAAUUCUCCUUUUCGACAUCCAGGGCAACUGAACUAACUCAACUGUAGAUAUCUUUCUUUAGUUAUUUACUUGUCUCACUGCAUGUGGAUUUUAUGUAUUCUAUGGAACUUUAUGUUGUUCUUAAUACAAGCAGAGAAGAUCCAUAAUGUUGUUCUUAAUACAAGCUGAGAAGAUUGGUGUCAGGUAAUUAAUUUUCUUUUCUUAAUCCUCCAGAUCGAGUUUUUGGACCUACUACUACGACACGUCAUGUUUAUGAUGUGGCUGCUCAGCAUGUUGUCGGUGGUGCUAUGGAAGGAAUAAAUGGUAAUUGGUUUUACAUGUUAUUUCUUUGGUCUAAAUCAAACAGUGUAAUAAACAAUGAAGGAAUUGUAAGUCAAAUAUUAUACGUUAAUUAGUCAUAUUAUUGUAUGUUAGUUCAGUUAUGUUUCAAGUUGAUCGGUUCUGUUUGUGCUUAUGAUUCUUUAGUCAUCAUUCCUUCAGAUGUUAGUUUCCUUGGCUUAAUCAAAUUUUCUUGCCUUUUCGGUCAUAGGUACAAUUUUUGCUUAUGGAGUUACAAGUAGUGGCAAGACACACACAAUGCAUGUAAGGGUUGCAACUUUUUUCCUUUUAUUUGUGGAGGAAUAUUUUCCCUUUCCUACAAGCUUAAUCUGGACAUCACAUACUGCUUUCAUAUGUGUGUGCUGUAGGAUUUUUAUAUGUCAUAGUUUAAAUUCUGAUAAAACUGCAGAAGAAGUGAGGAUUAUUCUAACAUUUCAAUUUUCUUUCUUUCGUGAUUCAAAUUCAGGGAGAUCAACGGUCCCCUGGUAUAAUACCUUUGGCUGUCAAGGAUGCUUUCAGUAUCAUACAAGAGGUAGUGUACAUUGGCUAUCUUCCAUAAUCCACCUAUAUUGGAUAUCCUAGAUACUCCAGCCAUUUACUUAUUCUUUAAUUUAUUUUUAUGUAGACUCCAAGUCGUGAGUUUCUUCUUCGUGUGUCAUACAUGGAAAUCUACAAUGAGGUUUGUUUUCUCUCAAUUGCUUAGCGUAUCAUGUCUGCAAUUCUUUGUGUAGCAUACGGAGGAUAUGACAUUCUGUUUUUUCAAAUUUUUAUUUUCUGCUUUAUGUUGUAUUAUACCCUGCAUUGCAGGUUUAUGUACUUCGAAUUUUUGAUAAACAUGGAUCUUAGAAUGUAAUUUUCACACUCUGAAUUUUGAUUGCAUCCCUAAGAUCUUUCAGAAUUAAGUGCAAAAUGUACAACAAUGACUCUGUUUGGCAGGUCAGCAACUGACUUUGUUGGGAACAUUUGCUUGACUAUGAGUAUGUUUGUUUCAUUGAAAGUGGAGGGGAAUGACGCUGUUUUCGGCAAUAAAUGCCCACUUCCAUUGUUUGAUUCGCCGUAAAAUACAUUCGCAUGUAACUCCACUUUCCCAAAAUGCCGUAAUUGACUUCGCCUUGGGUGGUGCUGGAGUCAAUUACGGGAAAGCAAGAGAUAUAAAAAUUAAAAAAAUAAUUGUUGUAACUUUUUUUUUUAUCCUCUUAUGUACUAGCAUGAAAAUUUUCAGUAAAAUAAAUAAAAAAGUGGUAUGGUUACAGCUGCAAACCUAUUGACUUACUAUCAAACAAACAACGGUGAAAAAAAAAAAUUUAUUUGAACUUCAGUUCAACUGAAAAGUCAUUUAAACUUGAAAGUCACUUACAGACAAGCAAGCAAACCCUAUAGUUCUCUACAUACCGUUGCUGCAGAAAAAAAUUGAGAAUCUCAAAUUGUGGUCCACGUGGUUAUAGUAUUGAAAGGGCAUGGUACAUGGAUAUUAUGUCAAUUGAUCUUAGUUGGAUUAAAUCAAAUUUGAGAGAAAAUUGUUUAUCCUCUUCUUGUGAAAUUUGUCUGCCCACUAAAUUCAUGUGUCACUAGGUUGCUUCGCAUUGGACUUCAUCUGAAAAUCAAUUUAGUAAAUGGAAGUAGAAGCAGUUCGUCUUUAAGUAGUCAAAUAGAAGUACUGCAUUUGGUCUUUGAACUUGUUAAACCCUGUUGUAAAUGCGUUUCAUUUGAAAGAAGCUAGGUUGUUGCUAGGAUUUUCGGACAGUGGACCGAUCAAGGAAAUUUAAGAUGUAUUGGCUUUAUUGAAUUUUAUGACUUUGGUUCUCCUAGUUCUCGGAUUAGUACCUUGACCUGCGUAAUUCACUUUAAUCAGGUUAAACACAUGAUAGUUUAGAUGCUAUUAUGGUAAAAAAGUCGAUGAUGGUUUUGAAGUUUAAUUUUGGGUGGCACUACUAGUCAUUGAGAGUUAUAACAGUCCAUCCACUGUUUCAUAUUGCAACUAGCCCAUGAAAACUUAGUAAGCAACUUUCUAAAAUUAGGUGUUUGCCACCGAGGUAGUGAGCACUCUGUUGCAUUUUGACUUGAUCUAGAAUGCUAUUUCUACUUGAGUAAUUCUUGUUUCUUUAGCAAGUACUUGUUCUGAAUCUUCCAUUUUUCUAGAAAUUGCUUGGUCCUUUCAAAGCUUUAUAGCAUUUUUGGUAACCUACUAUAUUGAUGUUUCAGGUGGUUAAUGAUCUGCUUAAUCCUGCUGGGCAGAAUUUAAGAAUCAGGGAGGAUCUUCAGGUGCUGAAUGUCACAAUGUUCACUCAUAAACAUCUUUCCUCUUUUACCUUGUAAUCUGAUUUGCAAUCACUCCUGAUGGGUCUUUUAGCUUAACUAAUCGACAUUUCUCUUUGAGAUUUUAUGCGGUUAUGAUGAUUUGUGCUUGCUUUUCACUCUUAAGAUUGGUAAGCUGAUUGUGGUCUCUAGUUGAGUUUUGGGAGGAAAAAAAAACAUUACACGUAUAUCUCGUUGGUGCCUUGAAAAUUUUCCCUGAAUUGCUCAAGUGUGCACUCAAAACUUUAAAAUUUUUCCUUGAAUUGCUCAAGUGUGCUCUCAAAACUUUAAAUCAAUAAAAUUGUGAAAGUUAGUUUUUGGACUCUGACAAACAGGUAGUUCCUAUACAAAUACAAAACUGAUUUUACUUACUUGGUAAUUAGCUGGUAUGAACCUUUAUCUGGGUAAUAUGGUAAUUUUUUUUUUGCGCUUGUUCUAUUCCUUCAAUCAUGCAUGGCUAGUUCAUGUUUUAGAGCAUGCUUAUAGCUUUUGCUGAAUUCAGUUGAUUGUAAAUUGAUGUUGUUUCUUGAAAUCUGUUAACCUCUCACUGUAGUGAUUGCGUGUUUGUGUUUUACAUGAUCUCAGGGAGCCUUUGUUGAGGGUAUUAAAGAAGAAGUUGUCUUAUCUCCUGCUCAUGCUUUGUCGCUUAUUGCAGCUGGAGAAGGUUAAUAUCGUACUUUGUUCAUAUGAACGUCAAAUCCCUUAAUUCAGAAAUAUUUUGACCUCCCAGACAUGCAAUUUGCUUUCAUUAUCAUUUGUAGUUUCUAGGUGGGAGUUAAUAGGCAUAAAUAUGUUAUUUAAUUAUUCAACUCACUUAGUUGUCUAUGACACUUACAGAAUUCUAAUAGCCAACCCUGCAUUGUUCUUGUAUACUAGAAUAAGCCCAUAAGCUCUGUCAAUUAUACCUCAAUAAAUUAUCUCAUUGUACCUUUUGUUCUAGAAUAAAUCAUUUUUCUUUAGGAUAUCUCUAGGCGUCAUGGACACUAACACGAGAUACGGGACACGACACGACUCGGACACCGCGACACGGCAACUUUCAAAAAAUUAGGACACGGACACCGCUAAUAAAAUAUAAUAUUAUUAAUAUAAUAAUAUAUUUUUAUUAUAUAUAAAAUAUUAAUUUUGGUAAAAUAUUAUUAUAUUUCUCAUACAAAUGAAAGUUAGUGAAAUUUUCAUUAAUAGUUCAUAUAUUUUAAGAAAAAAAUUCUCCACCACACAUAAUUUAUUUAUAUUGUCAAAAAAAUUAUAUACAUUCAUCAAAAAGCUACAAUAUUUAUUAUCUUACAUUAAAUAUGCAUAGAAAAAGUAAAAUAAAAAUAGGUUUAUAUUUUUUUUAGUUGUAUACGCUAUGGAUCAGCAUUAAAUGCGCGUUCAAAGAGUGUCCGAUGAGUCCACAUCGGACACGUGUCCGACAUGGAUAUACGCGUGUUCGACACGAACACGCAAGGCUUAUAGAAGUGUCCGUGAUACAUAGGGAUACCUUCUUGAGUAAAUUGUCUCAGAAUGGUCAUAUAUGUAAUCUUGCAUAGUCCACACUCGACAGAUAUUGAAGUAACUAAUUUCCAAUGAAUAUUUUCUGAUUAUUUGUUAUAUCUGACACCUUCAACUAUGGCUUCGUUAUUUUCUUCUUAGAAUUUUCACUCCUAUAAAAUUUCACUUCUGCUGGGGGCAUACAGUAUCAUUUUUUUGGUUGAUGUAUGCUUUGAUGACCCCAUUUUAGGAGCAGAAGCAGCAACUUGUUUUCUGGGGAAAUGUCCUUUCACUUCUGUACUGCCAUGAGUUGAAAAUUCUAAAUCUUAGUGUGUAAUCUUCUGUUGCUGGUGUAUUUAUGGCUUCUAUCUUUUGAUGGCCUGACAGAGCAUAGACAUGUGGGUUCCAAUAACUUCAAUCUGCUGAGCAGCAGAAGUCAUACCAUUUUCACACUGGUACAUCAAAAUUACUUAUUGCACUUCGCUUAUUUUGGCAUAGAGCAAUGUUUGUAUCAUUGAUUAAAGUUUAAAUGGAAGAAUGAUUAGAAUGGUUUGAAAACAAAUGCAUAUAUUUCUGUGAUUUUCUGUGAUAAACAGUUGAUGACCAAAAAGCUACUAAGCACAGAAAGCAAUAAAAGAUAUCAUACUCCCUUUUAUUGAUUUAAGACACUACCAAGAGUUCUAUUCAGAAGUAGCAUGCAUGCUACUAGCUAGCCAUAGUAAGCUAGAACAUAAGGCUCUAUUGCUGGUGCUGUUGUUUGUUGUCAACAAUUUCAACCUUUUUAACAGUCUCCUGAUACUAUGACAUUAGAAAUGUGUGAGAUACAUCAGAAGAAGACCUGAAGAAACUGUAACCAACUGAUAUAUUAUAAUGGAACUUAUGAGAAAAUGAAUCUUGUAGCUUUUCUGGUUUUUGUUUCUUUAACUUAUUUCAGUCAAAUUUGAGUGCUUUUAAAUUUCAAGGUCUUUAUAUUCAAAUUGUAAUAUGAAUUUCAAGUCUUUGACCUCCAAAUUUGGAAGCCAAUCAAUUCCUUCAUGAUCGGAUCAAAGAUCUCUCCCAUUAAAAUGUAAACUAAAGAAAAUUCAAUGAUACAUUAUUCUUGGUCCUCUCAUCCACAAUUCAAAAGCACGUCUCUUAUUUAUAGGUGUCGCUGAGAAAGAUAGUAAAAUUUAGAUGGACUAACUAUUUAGCUUUGUUUUGGAAUGUAUUAUGUUUCCUUUUUGGAAGCUCACUCUAUAGCAGCUUGUGCAAUCGUUAGUUCUAUGCAGCUUUAGGGUAUCUGCCAGAAGACAACAAUCAUGGUUGUUAAAUCUUCAUUUGCUUCUUGUAAAUAAGGAAGAUUUUUUUUUGCAAUGCUGACUUCAUAAAGUUUUAUUGUCCAAUAUACAAAUAAGGUUGUAUAUUUUGCCAUGAAAAUGUUUCUAUCUUCUGUUUUUCUUCUACUUAGCAUCCCAACCAUGUUUCACAAUAUUCUGCACUGCUGUGAAAGCACUAUGAAAUUCUUUAUUUUGAAGCUUCAAGUUGAUAUUUCCUUGUGCUUUCUAAUUACAGACGAUAGAGAGUAGCCCCUGCGGUGACUGUAGUGAAGGAGAAGUCAAUUUUUCGCAACUAGUGAGUUCAUAUUCACAAUGCUUUUGACUGGUUCUUCCUAAUACAAUUGUAUUAAGUUUGUUAUCUUACCAAAUCUUAGUUUGUUUACAUGAUUUAUUUUUACUUAAUGUUAUUCUCUUAGAUAUUUGUCGUGAGUCAAAAAAAAAGGGAAAAUAUAUAUCAAGCUUUUGAUGAUGGUUUGGUCUAUCGACCAAAAUUUACUUAAUACUAUGCAGUUAGCUAUUUGAUUCCUUGUUUUAAUUUUCUUUUACUCAUCUGCAGAACCUCAUCGAUCUGGCAGGUUCAGAGAGCUCAAGAGCUGAAACAACUGGAAUUCGCCGAAAAGAAGGAUCCUACAUCAAUAAAAGCCUGUUAACUCUUGGAACUGUGAGGCUAAAAACAUAAUAAAUCUACACAAAGUUAGAUGUUCACUAAGUUUCCUUCUCGUAACUCCAUGUUUUUACCUAAUUGUGUUCUUGUGGAACAUGGUAUUUCAGUUCCAUUACUCGAUCCAUCUUAUAAUAUCCUUUCUAUAGCUAUAUUCAAAUUGGUGCUCAUCCUCCAAUAUAUGUUGUGUAGCAAGAGCUUUUAUUUGAUGAGUUUUUAUAUGAAUUACUUUAUCACCAAUUGGCUAUAUUGCUUUCAUGUCAAGCCUUUCUGUUUGAUUUUUGUUUAGUUUCAUUCCUGGGAACCUAGCACCAAAACAUCUGCAGCUUUCCCAUAUUUUUGCUUUCGAAUGUGGACAAUCUCCUACUGUGGGAAGAUGGCUUAGACAAUGAUGUUUAUCGCUCCAAAUUGAGAUCACCAAUUGACCUACGAUAUACUUGUACUUAUCCAGUGGUUAAAAAGUAUUCAAAUCUGACCGGGCGUUUCAGUUUUUCUCAUGCUUAGCUUUCCAUCUAUCAUUGAAGAUGACAGCUUUAAUGAGAAAUUCCCAAACUAAUUAGCAUCUAUACAUUGAAGCUAGUUUAGCUAUAUAAAUAUUUAUAAUUGUAAAUCUUACAUAUGUUAGGGCGAUUAUUUUGAAUAUAGGUAAGAUUAAGAUAGUUGGGCUUGUGCUUUUCAGGUAAUAGCGAAAAUAACUGAUGGAAGGGCUACACAUAUUCCAUAUCGUGACUCAAAAUUAACACGACUACUGCAAUCCUCUUUGAGUGGUCAUGGGCGUGUUUCUGUAAGUUGCACUGAACAAUGCAUGUGCAAUUGAAAUUGAGCCAAUAACUUGUAGUGAUUCCUGAAGUUUGGCCAUUUUCAUUUUGUAAUAAAACUGUAAACUGUUGGUUAGAUGUCUAAUAUUUGCACUCUUCUGCAGCUUAUUUGCACAGUUACCCCAUCAUCUAGUAAUACUGAAGAAACGCACAACACUUUGAAAUUUGCUAAUCGAGCAAAACAAAUUGAGAUUCAAGCAUCGCAAAAUAAGGUAUAUCACUUUGCUUGUACAAUUGAGUAAUUUAGACUAUUCUUCGCUGUCGCUCAAUUUAACGGAAAAUUUUUGUUUUGUUUCAAGACAAAUAUGUCUAUUCAAUUUUUGACUUAUAUUAUAUUUGUUCUUUUGUUACCUAAUUUACUUAUCCGACAAAUACACAUCCUAUGCAGAUUAUUGAUGAGAAAUCUUUGAUUAAGAAGUAUCAAAAUGAGAUCCACAGAUUGAAGGAAGAACUAGAACAACUGAAAAGGGGCAUUGUUACUGGCACUCCUUUGAAAGAUACUGGAGAAGAUGAUAUUGUCCUGCUGAAACAAAAGGUCAACAUAACUUCAAGACACUCAAUUCUUUUGGCAUCUAGUUUUCAAUUUUACCUAUCCUUCACGGUGUUCCUUUUCCAUGGUGAUUUUACUUUAAAAUGACUGUACAUUUUGACUCGGUGAUGGUAUUAAUUGAAAAGCUAGAAGAUGGUAACGUGAAGCUGCAAUCGAGAUUGGAACAAGAAGAAGAUGCUAAAGCUGCUUUGCUAGGGAGGAUACAGCGUCUAACAAAGCUGAUUCUUGUUUCUACAAAGACAACUCAGGCUUCAAGGUUUCCUCAACGUCCUGGUCCAAGGCGAAGACAUUCAUUUGGAGAAGAGGAGGUUUGGCGAUUCAAAACUGUUCAUUCCUGCAUAUUUCUAUUUUCAGAUCUAUUUCCUAAUCUUGAGAAUACAUUCGUAAAAUGCAGCUUGCUUAUCUCCCAUAUAGAAGGCGAGAUAUGAUCUUGGAUAAUGAAAGUAGUGACUUUUUCGUCCCAGCCGAAGGAUAUGGUGAAACUACUGAAGAUACUUCAAAGGAGAAGAAAAAUCGCAAGCAUGGGCUCCUUAACUGGUUUAAGCAGCGGGUGUGGAUUAUUAAAUCCUGGAUAUCAAUUUGCAUUUUAGACUUCAUAUCCAUGCCGUGUGUCAUUAUCUUUUGAUUUCUUUUUCUUAUGUAGAUUCAUUUAGGGGCUGUUUGGUUGCAUGCAGUAACCACAUGCAAAUUUAAAUUCGACGUUUGGUUUGAUGCGUUUGAAUCCAAGUGCUGCAGUUGGAACUACAUGAGACCCAACUGUAGUUGGAACUACGUCCAAAUUGGCUGCAGUUCCAACUGUAGCAGUUGAGGAGAGUAACCUCAAACAAGAGGUAAGCUUACCUCCUUAAUUACUUUUUAAACAAAAAAAAAAUAUUUUUUAUAUUGGAGGUAAUCUCACCACCAUGUAUAUAAAGUGAUAAAGUUUUACAAACACACUUUUCAACUACAUGCAAUCAAACGAAUUAUUUAUAAGGGUUAAUUUCAGACAGGUCUCUACAAACAUAGUAAAUUAUAAAUAUAUUCCUACAAAGUUCAACUUUCAUAUGUUAUCUCUGCAAAUGUCCUGAUGUUUUCAAAUGUCCCUAUCGAUAGGAUUCGUUAAAAAAAAUUAGUUAAUCAUAGAUAAAAUACUUAACCCUAGUUAGUUAAUGAGGUGAAUUGACCUUUUUACCCCUUUUUAAUUAAUAGUUGGGACUUUUGGAGGGACAUAUUUAUGAUGUCAAAAAGGUCAUUUUACUUAUAAAAUAAACUGUAUUUUAAUGGUAACAAAUCAGAGAGAUAUAUUUGAAAAUAUUAGGACUUUUGUAGGGACAAUAUAUGAAAGUUGAAUUUUGUAGGGAUAUAUUUGCAAUUCACUAUAUUUGCAAGGACCUGUAUGAAAUUAACCCUAUUUAUAAUUGCAGCACGUUUUACUGCAUCCAUCUAAAUGAGAUAUAUGUAAUUGUAACUGCUGCAUCUCUAACUGCUUGCAUCUUCAUCUACAUUGCAUUUCUAAUUACGUCAAACCAAAUGACUCCUUAGUGUAAUUAGACUUUAUUUAAUAAAUCAGUCUAGAUUUUGGCCUUCCUUUCCUGGUUUGGUCAUCCAAUAUUAACUAAAUUUUUCUUGUAUUUUGCUCUUAAGUGAUGCACUCAGUAAAUGAAGUGGCUGAAUAAUCUUUUCCAUCUGUUUCUGACUAAGACCAUUUUGGUCUUAUCCAUGCACUGCUGGAUCAUAAUUAGGAAAACAUUGCCCAACCAUCACAUCAGCGUUAUUGUUUUGUCCUUGUCUUCUUUAUUCAUUCUCAUGCAAUUUGUACUGCUCCCUGCAGAAAAGAGAUAGUAGUGGAACUACACUUACAAGUUCAGAUGGAGAUAAGUCGAGUGGAACCAAAUCAUUUACUGCUCCUUCGACUCCCCAAGCAGAGAGUGUAACCUUUCCUCCAGAGCCCAGGAUAUCGACUUCUAUUGCUGUGGAAAAUAUCACCGCUGCUAUCGUGGGACAUGAUAGAGAACUCCCUUCUGACAGCCUUUCAAGGGAUGAGACACCUUUGGUAUGAGAUUUCUGAAUUUUCUCAAAAGAUAAACAUUAUAUAUUCUUUCCUUUCUUGUGAGUAGCUAUAUGUUUUUUUUUUUUUUUAAUGAAAGCAAGCACCUCAUACUCUCCUAUUCAAAGAACAGACAAAUUUCUAGAAAUACUGCUAUGAUGUUGGAUUUGCUCUUUGUUAUAGUUUUCCAUCUUUGGAUAGCUUUCUUAUAAGAUAAUACUCAAAAGGACAAAUAAAUUUCUAGAAAUACUGUUGUAAUGUUUGAUUUACUUUUGUUCUGCCACUACAAGUUUGGGCAUAUGAAGCAUGGAUGAGUUUGAACCCUAUUGGUAUAUCUUUCCAUCUUUGGAUAGCUUUUCUUAUAAGAUAGUAAUCGCACUGUCAUCUUCACAAAUUCAUUUUCAAAGAACUAAACUAAGCUGAAAUCAAAUGAUAGUAAUCAUAGUCGAACUUUCAUCUUCACAAAAACAUUUUUGAGUAAUGUAGCUCUGCUGAAAUCAAACUUUGUUAACAAGAUGUCCUGACCAUUAAUAUCAAAGCUCUAAAUUUGUAAUUACGUAUAACUUAAUAACCACAUAACUCUGUGGAGCUGUAUCUGCUUUCUCAAUUUAUGGCACUCGAUUAUAUAUUAGUAACAUCAUAUGUUAUGUGAUGACAGGCUAGCAUAAAAACUAUAGAUCAUGUUGAUUUGCUCAGAGAGCAACUCAAGAUUUUGUCCGGAGAAGUUGCACUCCAUACCAGCGUCUUAAAGCGGCUCUCAGAAGAAGCAGCAAAUAGCCCCAAGAAGGAACAGAUUCAGGUAAUCUUUUACCCUCCUGCACUCCAUGAUCUGCACAAAUAUACACGACACUUGAUAAGCCAUUUAUUUGUUGCAGAUGGAAAUAAAGAAGAUUAAUAAUGAGAUUAAGGCCAAGAACCUGCAGAUAUCUUCUUUGGAAAAGCAGAUGGCUGAUUCGAUAUCAGCUACUCAGGCCAAGGCGGAUAAAUCAGAACUUUCACCGGUAAGGCAGUAAUUUUCAUUCUACGCUACUUGUUAUUCCGGAUAGUCACUAUAAUUGGCGGAGCCACUUUUUCUUGCAGUCUUAUGCUCAACUACUCGAGCAACUCAACGAAAAGAACUUUGAACUUGAGGUAAUAAAACAUUAGUCCAUUGUAUCCUCUUUAAUGCAAACCCUUCGCUUAUUUACAGCAUAAUAAACAAUACAAAAGUCAUGUUGGGUACUAUUCAGUGUGGUCUUUAAGGAACUGCUUGAACUGAUUGCUGAGGCAAUCACUUUGCAAUCUAUGACAGGUUAAGACUGCGGACAACAGAGUGAUACUCGACCAGCUGCAGAAUAAGGUUGGACUUGAUUUGUACAAUUAUAAAUAACAUGCCUAAAUUGUUAUGGAGAACCUGAUCAUCAUGUUUUAAUUUAUUCUCCUUGUCAGACACGAGAAUGUGAAGUGUUACAGGAAAUCGUCACUUCACUAAAAGAGCAGCUAUCGCAAGCACUUGAAGAAAAGGAAUUGUCUUUGUCAUGCGCUCGAUUAGAGAAUGAUGUCGCAGGAGCUAAUGAUGGAAAAGAACUGCACGUAGACAUAGAAAAGAAAGCAACAAGAGAUGUUACUGCUGAGUUAUUGCUACAAGCACAUCAGGUCACAUCUAUUCUCUUAUAAUAUGUUUGACUCUGAUGAUCGUAGUACUGCAAAAUCUAUUUUUAAGGUAGCUUUACUUGUUUUAGAAUUACUUCUAAUUCUCUUUUCUGAUAACUUUAUGACCUUCUUGCCUCUUCAUUACUUGUUUUUACUCCCUCAGGCAUCUGAGAUCGAAGAACUGAAGCAGAAGCUCCAGGAACUCAUGGAAACGAGAACCCAACUAGAAGCCCGGAAUCAGAAGCUAGUAGAGGAGAGUGCAUACGCCAAAGGGUUGGCCUCAGCUGCAGGAGUGGAACUAAAAGCUCUAUCUGAAGAAGUCACCAAGCUCAUGAACCACAAUGAGAGGCUCGCCAAUGAAUUGGCAUCCGUUAGAAAUUCUAAUCAACGGAGAGUGAGUAACGGACCGAGAGCUAUGAAAAGAGAGAGCCACAUUAAGCGCCAUGAACCUGUAAAUAAGAGGGAGGUGAAUGUGAGCUACGAGAGAGAGCUCGCUCUCGAAGCUACAAUCGUUGAGAAGGAGCAGAGAGAGGCAGAGCUCCAAAAGAAGCUCGAGGAGUCGAAACAAAGGGAAGCCUUUCUAGAGAACGAGCUGGCUAACAUGUGGGUCCUUGUGGCAAAAUUGAAGAAGUCGCAAGGGAGCGAGCAAGAUGAUUCGGAUGCCAAAUUGAAAGAUCCCUAAUUGGCAAAGGUUAGGGCAGGAAAGAGGAUAACUAGAUUUUAGUCAUCGUGUUGAUUCGGGUGUUUCUGUAUGUAAAAGAGAGGUUAUUGUAUAUUUGUGUGCUUCUUUUGUAAUAUGGAUCCGGGUUGUCUCUGUUGCUUCUAUUCUUUGAUUAGUUGCUCAAAUUUGUGAUAUAAAAUGUCUGUCUGGCAACAAAAAGCAUGUAUUUGAUGCAAUGACAGUAUUAUAUGCUCCUGCUCAGUCGCUGAUCCAAAAUUCAGUGAAAGCAGCAGCAAAUUAUGUUUGGUUCUUUAUUAAGCCCUGUAAUUUUUAUGGCUAUCGUGAGGAAUGGGAAUUGCGAAUCUGCUUCUGAAAAAUAAGAAGGAAAGAGGAUCUUUUUUUCAAUUCCUUUUUUUUUGUGAAGAUGCCAGCAGGCUACUUGCAUGUAGGGGUGGCAAUUCAGCUCACUGUUUGCAAGUCAGCUCAUGUUCAGCUUGAAAUGAGCUCGAGAUCGAAUCGCUCGUUUAGUAAACGAGCCAAACACGAGUUGAAUUUUUUAGCUUAUUUAGUAAACGAGCCGAACACGAGCUGGAGUCAGCUUACUCGUGUUCUGCUCGAUAAUAGCUCGAAUACAUAUAUUUUAUAUUUAUAUAAUUUAUAUUUAUAUAUAUUUAUAUAUAUAAAUAAAUAAUUAUAUAUAUUUAUUAUUUGAUUUUAUCAAAAUGAAAAUAUAAAUGCGAGCUUAAUUAUAAAAAAAUUUAUUUAUAUAUAAAGUUUCGAUCAAUUAGAUCAAAGUCUAAUGAGUAGUUUUUAUAAUUCAAUUUUUAUAUAUAUAUUCCAUCUAAUAUUAACUUAUUGUUCACAAUGAGCCGAACACGAGCUGGAUUUUUUAGCUCGAUAACUUUAACGACUCAACUUGUAUUCGACUCGUUUAUUAAACGAGCUGAACACGAGACGACCCAGCUCCUUCGUGUUCGGCAGGUAGCUCAAGUUUUUAUAGAUAAAUGAUUAGUUUAUAUUAUUUAACGUAAUAUUAGCACAGGAUGUUUGCAUUUCAAAUUUCGUUAGGUCUCCAGUCUUGUUUAAAUAUAAACAGGGCCCUUAUAAAAAAAAAAAAAAAGGACGAAAGAGAGAGAGAACCGUCAUUUUGCAUGCUGAAGUAUCAGCGCCACGUGAUUACUGCUAAACAGAGCCCGAAUCACAACCUGUCAUGUCAACGGACCACUCUUUUUAAUUUUUAUUUUUAAUCUUUUACACUGCAUGAAAUCACUGAUGUACGUAAAUCAAAUCUCCUAGUCCUUAUUAUUAUUAUUAUCAUUUUUAAUCUUUUACACUGCAUGAAAUCACUGAUGUACGUAAAUCAAAUCUCCUAGUCCUUCUUAUUUCGCUGUCAUCAGGAAUGAAGUCCGCAAUUAAAAUUCGCCCGUGGGAGCGAAGAUUUGGAUUCAGCAGAGAAAGAUUUCCGCCUCGAAUAAUUAAGAAAAGAGUUUGUCAGUUUAUUACAGCGAGUUGGAAUUCUACACUAUUACACUUGUACUACAUCAUCGAUAACAAAUCAAUCACAUUUUUUCUUUUUAAAUAAAAAUACAUUAAAAAUAUUUUUUUACAAUCAUGAUCGGACAUAUACUUCUAAGGGCACGUUUGGUUCGCAAGAUUACUAAGGAUAAACAGAUAUCCGAGAAUCUUAUUUUUAUGCAUUCUAUUACUAAGAAUGUAAUAUUUCGAUAUUUGGUUCGUACGGUCAUAUUAUUUAGUCGUACUAUUUGAGAUUACGAAAAAUAUACAAUUAAUUUUUUUUAAUUAAUUUUAAAUAAUACUAUAAAAAAAAUUCAACAUCUUUUUAGAAUGAGAGGGUUGAGAUUUUAGAAAAAGAGAGGGAGAAAUAGUUAAGUUUAGAGAGAGAAAAAGAGUUGAAGUUUAGAAAAAAAGAGAUAAAUUAGAUAGAGAUAUGAAAUUAGAAUGUAAAGAAAAAUAAUACCAACUAGCCGGCCAGUGGGAAAAAAGAAAAAGAUUAGACAUAUUAUGAUUACCUCAAUUCAUUACUCUCUCAAAGGAAUGAGAUUAGUACUUUGGGAUGAAUCUCAUUCCCAAGUAAAUCUAGUAUUAUCAACUAGAUUACUUAGUACAUUUAGCUAAAUACCGUAAUAUUUUUUUAUUCCUAUUGGAUUACUAGAAAUCUUAAAAAGAUAGUGCGAAUCAAACGCACCCUAAAAAGAGACAUUUGAUUGAUUUGUUACGCCACGUCACCAAUAUACCCGUUGCAUUCUAGAAUUUUACCAACAAGGAGACGAGGACGAUGUGCUGAAAUAAGAGUAGGACUAGAGAGACGGUGGUGGAAAAGGGUUGAGAUCGGAGUUGACGAAAAGAUUAAUUGAGAAAACAAAUUUAGUUAAAAAGUUUUAAUAUUGGCCCACGUAAAACCAAAGAUAAAAAUAUAUAAAACUUAUCUAAAUAAUAUAUAAAUUAUUUUGAUUUUCCUAUCUAAUCUUUCAAUUUAUUUAAUUUGAAUUAGUUUAUAGUACACUUCAACUUUAAAAUUAAAUUUAAUUAUUUUAAUAAAUAUGUGAUUGCGAGAAUUGUUUGGAGCAUAUAUACUAGCCAAACCUGUUAAGAUAACGACGCAUUCAAAUUUUAAAGCAAAAGAACCGUUAACUGACUUAAAUCAAAUAAAUUGAAAAGGGUGGUAAAAUCAAAUUGAAAGUUUUAAGUGCUCAAUAAUUCAGAUAUCAAACUAUGAUUUGUAAUUUUUCGACUUUUACUAUAAAGGACUUAUACAUAACAUUCUAAAAUUGAGGGAGGCAAAUAGGCAAUGGCCACUGGAGUCUCAUAAUGGCUCUGUCCCUCACUGUCACAGUAUGUCCCGUACGUCCGAUUAAGUUAUUUAAUAAUAAUCUAUCUAUAUUAUUAUAUGAUAGUAAUAUUUUUUUAAUUGGAAGUAAAUAAAAAUUAAUUUUUACAUUUUUGGAAAAUUUUGACAUCGAUAUAUCUUGCUUAGAUAGUGUUUUUUAUUUAUAAAAUAUUUUAUCUUCAUUCGUGAAAAUAAAUUGAAGAUUGAAUUUGAUUUUUGAUUCAAGAAAUAUAUUCAAACGUACUUCCUAUUUACACCUUCUUAGGAUGUGUUUGAUUACUUGUAAAAUUCAUCCGAAAAAAAAAAUCUCGGUUGAAAAAUAAAAUUCUAAUGUUUGUUUGCUUGCAAAAAAAUUUCGAAAAAAGUUUUACAAACGGGAAGGAAAAUCGAAGUUUUCAUUUUCAGCUCGAUCUGAGCGGUUUUGUCAAAUGUUUUAUAUGAAGAAACAAAAAACGCGCGAUGCAGCAAAAUAAUAAUUUGUACAAAGAAAAAUUCAUCUCAUUCCUUGUGAAUUUUUCUUUUGAGAGAAAGGUAGCAAGUUAUUCUUUUCUUUUAUUUUAGAAAUAAACUCCUGGUACUAACUAUCGAAUUUUUUAAUCAACUACAUUAAGUACUGCCAGUACAAAUAAAUAUUUUUUUAAAAAAAUUCCAAAUAAAUAGUAUGACACUGCAUCUUAGGGGCAGUUUGAUUGCAUGCAGUUGCAACUACACUGCAAUUAUAACUGCAUGCAAAGACAAAUUUUGUGUUUAGUUUGACAUAUUUAACUUCAACUAUUACAGUAAAAACUGCAGAAGGAAAUUCAACUAUAAUAGUUGGAAUUACGUCCAAGUUGGCCGCAAUUCCAACUAUAAUAGUUGGAGAGAGUAACUUUAAGCAAAAAUUAUGCUUAUCUCCUUAACUAUAGAUAAAAACUAUUUUUCACAUUAGAGAUAAUCUUACUAUCAUACAUAUAAUAAUAAUAAUAAUAAUAAUAAUAAUAAUAAACUUUUAAAAAUAAUUUUUUAACUGCAUUCAAUCAAACAAAUUAAUAAUUUAUAAUGAUAAAAUUUUAAAACUUAUUUCUUAACUGCAUGCAAUAAAACAAAUAAUUUAUAAUUAUAGUAAUUUUACUACAUCGAAUAAAAUAGAAUGCACGAAAUUACAACUGACCAAUUUUUAUAUUAUCAUAGAUAGUGUAUUUAUAAUAUCUAUUUCUCUAUAUUAAAGGAGGGUUUGGGGACCUUGGGGUGACAUGUGUUCUCCCAAACCCCUUUUACUCUUCCCUCUAUAUAUAUAUAUUAUAAUUAUUAUAUAUAUUAUAUAUAUAUAUAUCAAAAUUUAAAAUUUUGAUACUUUUCAAAAUUUUAAAUUUUUAAAUUUCAAAUUAAUUUAUAAUAUUUAUUUUUCAAAUUUUAAAUUUUAAAAUUUAAAAUUUUUAAUCUCUAAACUCUAUAAAAUUAAUUAAUUAAUUAAUUUUAUUAAUAAAUUCAUUGUAUAUAAUAUAAUUAAUUAAUAUUAUUAAUAAUACAGCUAAUAAAUCGCAUAAUAAAAAUCUAUUUGAUCGAUGCUAUAAAAAAUACAUAAUUUAAAUUUGAAUUGUAAGAUUUUAAAAAUAGUGCGUGUGUAUAUAUAUAAUUAAUUUUAUUAAACAAAUUCUUCCAUUAUUUUAUUUCCCUUCUAUUUAUUUUUUAAAAUUAUUUUGAUAUAUUUAUCAUAAAUCUUUUUUUGCAUAAAUCUUUAUAAAAUAAGUUGUCGUUUUAAUAAAUUUUAUUUAAAUAAAAUUAACUAUUAAAUUAUUUUUAUAUAAUUUUUAUUUAAUUAAUAAUUAGAUUUAUAAAAUUAUUUAAAAAUAUAAAAAACUAAAAUUUAUUAAAAAAUAUUUUUAAAUUCCCAGCAUCGCGCGGGUAUUUCACGGAUAAUUAUAUUAAACCAAAGGGCCCUUUAGUAGACAUCGGCAAGUGGCAUAGUUGACGUUUUAAAAAAAAAAUUAAAAAAAAAGAGAAUAUUAUUAACUGCUACUUAAUGAGCGGCAGUGCCUCAAAAGACUCAAUUAUUUAAUUUUUUAAGGCCUGUGUUGUUGACUUGGUUGUCUCGCCUCAAUAUAUUUUGUAGUUCGUGACCCUGCACUAUAUUUAAAGCCAUGUAUGUAGCACCAUAAGUAUUGCGUUGAAUAAAGGUAAAAGUAUACAGAACUUACCUGACAUGUAAAAUAUUUAGAUUUGAUUAUUUAAUUUUUUAAAAUUUUAAUUUUAUUAUCUAAUUUUUUAAUUUACUUGAUUUGAAUUGAUUAACGAUAUGCUGACUUUAAAAUUUAAGCUAAUUCUUUACUUUAGUAAACUUAUAGCGGUAAGAAUUCUAUACAAUAUAUUAAUUAAAUAUAUAAAGAUAUAUAAACGCUGCAUUUAAAUUUCAAAUUAAAAAAAUUAAAAGCUUAGAUAGUAAAAUUAAAAUUUUAAAUAAAUUGGACAACUAAAUCUAAAUGCUCCAUAGUUCACCAUUUGAUUUUAUCUUGAAUAAAUGACCUUUUUAUGUACCGUAAGAACUGUGUGACUAAAAUGAAAAAAUAUUACUUUUAGAAAUCAUUAAAAUCUAAUGUAAUGGGAGAUACAACAGUUACAACUAUGUAUAUUUCAUUUGGUUUGACGCAGUAAAAAUCGUUGUAAUUAUAAAUAAUUUAUUUAGUUGCAUGUAGCUGAAAAGUAUAUUUGUAAAAUUUUACCGGAUGAUGAGAUCACCUUUAAGGUGGAAAAGAAAAAUAAAAAAUCAAUUUAAAGAAUGAUUAGGACCGUAAGCUUAUCUUUCGAUUAAAGUUAUUCUCUUCAACUGUCGCAGUUGGAACUCCAACAAAUUUAGGUAUAGUUUCAACUACUACAGCCUGCACUUGGACCUUUUUAUGUAGUUUCUACUGUAAUAGUUAAAUUCAAACGCAUCAAACCAAAUGUUAGAUUAAAAAAUGAAAAACCCUAGGAGAGAGGAUAAAAUAUUAAAUUCCACAAUUUCUCCAUUUCUAAUACAAGUAAUCUAAUCUUAACAUAAAACUUUCAAAACCAUAUCUCUAAUUUCUAACAAUUUAUUCAAUAAUACAAAAUUUCAAAAAUCUAAAUAAAUUCACUAAAUAAAAUUUUGAAAAAUUUAAAUUUUGAUAACUAAAGAAAAUAAUUUUUUGAUCCUAAUUAAUUUUUUAAUUGCGUCACUAGCUUGACACCCAUCAAUACAAAAUAUAUAUGUUAGCCUUGGGUGAAAAAAUUAGUGCACCAUGAAUAAUCAUAUGCAUGUGUAUUCAAUAUGAAAAAUAGGUGCAAUUAGUGGAUAAUAGGAUAGAUAAAAAUAACAUGAACUCAUAAUUAGAUCUGAUAUCAUGUUACUUAAAAGUUUGAUCCAAUAAGAAAAUGCUCAAAAAUAUUUGUAACAGUACUCAAACUGUAUAGCAAAUACUAAAAUGUGAGGGACUUGUUAUGCCUUUCUCGGAAAUUAGAAAGUCUCUGGAACUCUCUUUGCACUUCUCAAUGAAUGUGGAGCCACAAACCUAAAAGGCAUCUUUUUUAUUUAUCAAUAAAGUGAUUUAUACUUGUGUUAGAGCUUUUUCCCUUUAGGAAAAAAAAAAAAAAAAGUAACUUAUGAGUUGUGUCAUUGUGUGUCACUGUGUGUGUGUGUGUGUGUGUGUAAGAGAGAGAGAGAGAGAGAGAGAGAGAGGGUUUACUUAACUCAUAAGAAGAAGAUCAUGAAUCUAUGUCUAUGUAUAGAGGCUUUGAUUAGUAGUCUAAUAAAUAAAUCAAGUUAAUUUAUCACCAAAAAUAUAGAUAAAAAAUGUAUGGAGACCCCCUUUCAAACUAAUCUUUUCAAAUUUUUAUUUGAUUUUUUAUAGUUAAAAGUUGUAUCAAUUUAAUAACUUUGUUGGUUAUUAACCAUUAACUGAUCUGGUUUUGCCGGCUAAUCAAUAAAUUUGAUUAAAUUUUUAAAAUUUUUUAACUAAAAUUACAUAAUUUGAAAAAAUAAAAAGUUGAAAGCGUUUCAAUAAAACGAAAAAAAAAUUGAGAAGCAAUUUUAAAAUUUAAUAUAGUUGAAGGGUCUGCGUGCAUUUUUACCCAGAAAAAGAUUAAAUGCAUACAGGUCUGUGCAAAUAUAUUUCUAUAAAGUUCAACUUUCAUAUAUUGUCUCUCUAAAACUUCUAAUAUUUUUAAAUAUGCCUUUUUGAUUUAUUACUGUUAGAGAGCUGUUUAUAUUUUAAUAGCAAAUAAAUGAAAUAUUAAUUUUGCCAUCACAAAUAUGUCUUUUCGAAAGUCACAAUAGUAUAAUAUAAGAGGGAUAAAAAUAUCAAAUUAUUUUAUAAACUAACCAAGAUUAAGAUUUAAUCUAUUUAAAAUUUUCUAACGGAUUCUAAUGGUAAGAACAGGACUUUUACACAAACAACAUAUUAAAAUUAGAUUUUAUAAAAAUAUAUUUUUAAUUCAUUAUAUGUUCACAGCAACAUUAAAAAAAAAAAAAAGAAAAAGAAAAAGAAAAAAAAAGCACAGACACACACACACAAACACAAUUGAUUACUAAUUACGGCGGAUCUAGGAUGAGGGCCACCGAUUCCUUCUGCAGCGCUUUACGGGUGCGUUUGGUUCGCGCUAUCUUUUAAAGAUUCCUAAUAAUUCAAUGGGAAUAAAAAAAUAUAACGGUAUUUGGCUAAACGUACUAAGUAAUCUAGUUGGUAAUAUUGGAUUCACUUGGGAAUAAGAUUUAUACCAAAGUACUAAUCUCAUUUUCUUGAGGGAGGAUGGAUAUCCUCAUAUUAAUGGAUUGGGGUAAUCAUAAUAUGUCUAAUUUUUUUCUGUCUUCCUAUCCGCCGGCUAAUUGAUAUUAUUUUUUUUUACACUCUAACCUUAUAUCUCUCUCUAAACUUAUUUUUCUCUCUAAAAUUCAACUUUUUUUUCUCUCUCCAAACUAAGCUCUCUCUCUCUCUUUCUAAAAUUUCAACUCUCUCACUUCCUCUAAUUUCGACUAUAUUUUUCUUUCUAUUUUUUUAAUUAUGCUCUCUCUCUCUAACUUAUACGCUCUCUCUAUUUUUUCUAAAAAGAUAUUGAAACUUUUGGUAACAUUAUCUAAAAUUAAUUGUAUAUUUUUUGUAAUAUUAAAUAACAUGACUAAUUAAUAUUACCGUGCGAACCAAACACAGAAAUUCCACAUUCUUAGUAAUAGGAUGAAUAUGAAUAAGAUUCUCGGAUAUCUUUUAUUCCUAGUAAUCUUUUAUAAUGCGAACCAAACGCAUCCUACAAGUAAUCCCAACCCUUCCUUUUUGCCUGGUCGGCGGCACGUGUCACUUUUCCAAUGGCCAACCAUUGUGCACCUGGUCCAGUGGGACCACACCAAACUUGGACGUAUCCUCCUCGGCCCACUCAAUGAAAAAGGAACCCCCCACUCCAUAGCUCUAUAAAACGAAAAAUUCUAGAAUGCAACGGGUAUAUUAGUGACGUGGCGUAACAAACCAAUCAAAUUAAUCCUUUUAAGAAUAUAUGUUCCAUCAUGAUUGUAAAAAAAUACUUUUAUUGUACUUUUGUUUGAAAUGAAGGAAUGUGAUUGGCUUGUUAUUGAUGACGUGGUGCAAGUGUGACAGUGUAGAAUUCCUCCUAUAAAACCCCCCAUAUAUCACACUCCAUGUAUACUUAUAAUUGAGCUUCAAUUUCUCACAUGGCGAACGCUUACUAUUUUCACAACACCCCCCCCUACUACCACCAAAACCCUUAUUCCCAGGCACACCACCCCAGCUCCCACGCAGCGCAACCCUUCCCCCUCCACCUCUGCUUCUUCCUCCUCACCCUCUUCCUCUUCAUCGCCUUCUCGUGGUACAUGAGCUACGAGUCGGCCCUCGAGAGCCUGAUCGAGCAGGUCAAGUUCCUCUUCAUGGUGUCGCCGCUGGUGCUGCUCCUGGUGGUGCACCUGAUGUCGAGCCGCGAGAGGCGGCACGUGCCGUUCUUCGCGCCAUUGCCAGAACACCAGCAGCCUUUCUACUGCAGCCGCGGUCGCGCGGGCGGAUCCCCGUGGGGGGUCGCGCUCGUGCUGGUGCUACUUAUGUUCAUGAUCUCCUACCAGUCUUACUUCCACGAGAGGUGGUUCCCCCUGCUGAGCAGGUGAUCAGGGGCCAAAUUAAUUAAAUAAAUAAACUUGUGUGUGGUUUAUAUAUAUAUAUAUAUAUAUAUGCUUUGUUUUGUAUAAGAAGGGCUAGCUAGGCUUCUUAAUUUGCUUUUCUUAUGGGGCUAAAGAAGAGGGGCAAGAUAUAUACAUGUGUGCUCCACUUUAAUAUUCCUUCCAAAUAUUAAUGCAUUAUGUUAAGUCCUAUGGUAAUAUGUAGAGGUUUCUUUUUUCUUUUUUCUUUUUUCUUUUUUUGAUAUUUCGCAGAUUUUUCGAGAUUCCAAAUACCUCAACUCUCUUUUUUUUUUUUUAAUGGUUUAAGAGAUGAUUAUAAAGCUAGACUACAAUGACAAGGAGACUAAAAACUUAGCAUCGGACCAGCUAUUGUCACACCAAAAAAAGGAAGAAAAAAAAAAAAAAAGAAAAGCAAAACAAAGCGGCUAAAUACCUUGAUUUAUAACUUAUAAUCGAUCGUAGCUUGGUAAUUGGGAUCGAAGCCAGUCGGGAAAAAAAAAAAUUCACUGAGGAGCUCUCGAACAACACUUCAUUAAAAAAAAUUCUAAUCCACAUGUAUUACUUUAUCUUUAUAGGAUUAUAAUCAUUCCUUCUAGAAUUUUUUUUUAAAAAAAAUUAAUAUUAAAAAAUAAUUCAACAAACUAUUGGAUGAAAGUAAAACUAAUACGUGACAGUGGACCUGGAGCUUUCCAAAAAAGUCAUCUAUUCUGUCGUGAAGUGUCACUUUUUCUCCAUUCAGAAUUAUAUGUUGGCUAAAUUACAAAAAAUCUUUCUGUAAUAAUCUGUUUUUUUACUUUUUCUUUCUGACAUUUAAAAAUCUACAUUUUACUCCCUUGUAAAAUAAAAAAUAUUCACAGGGGGUUACGGCGUGUAAAAUGAUCAUUUUGCCCCUCGUCAUUUUCGUCUUCUUCCUCAUCUUCCUCAGCCGCCCCUUCGAUCGGCCGCGAUUUCUUUCUAUUUCCUUCUCCACCUACUCCCCUUCUCCUCCAGCACCCUCGCCGUCCCUCGAUUUUAACGAUAGUAGGGAGAAAAUUGAGGUGGGUGUUGAUGGAGAGGUAGGCAAGGGCAACGAGGGCGAAGGCGAGGCGGCGGAGGAGGGCGAAGGGGAUGUGGGCGAGGGCGAGGCAGUGGAGGACGGUGAGAUGGCGAGGCGGCGAGCGGAGGAAAGCGAAGCAACAAAGAAGAGGGCGGAGGGGUAUUUUCGGUAUAAAAAAAUAUUUUAUAACAGAACUCUAACGGUAGGAGGUGAAGUGCACAUUUUUUAUUUUAUAAGGGGGUAAAGUGUAGGUUUUUAAAUGUCAAGGAGGGGAAAGUGAAAAAGCGGAUUAUUAUAGAGAAGUUUUCUGUAAUUUAGCCUUAUAUGUUUAAGCCUUAUAUGAGAUGAUUCCGCCGCCCAUUAGUGGCAGUUUAGACCCACACUAUUCAUAUUACUCGCACUAUCCAUAUUAGACAAUAUAAGGAUUCAUGAUCCUGAUGCUAAUAAAUCCAUAUUAGAUAAUGAGGAUUAUUCAUGAUCCUGAUGCUAAUAAGUAAGGACAUCACUACACGCACAAGUUAUCUGUUUUGUUUCCUUUUUUUCAGAAAUAAAUUUAGUUAGAAAAUAUAAAUAAUUAGGUUUCGAAUUUAAAAUGUCAAAUAUCAAUCAUCAAACUCUUAGGCAAUUACGCGAGGUACAUUUAGUGGUUAGUUACUAUACAUGCCCAAUUUUCUUUUCUUUUUUUUUUGAGGGAUAAGUGAUUUCUACACACAAAUUUGUACCCAAUGCAUUGCUAGUAGUACCCAAUGGAUUGGUUGUUGCUAUCCGAAGUUUCAAGUUUAAAGUUUAAUUACUUUAUAUUUUUAGAUAAAUUUAGUUUUAAAAUAAAAAAAAAACAGAUAGGAGGCUUAGUUUUCUCUAAAAUAAUUUUUAAAAAAAAUGCAUUGCCCAUAGCAAUAGAACCAUUUGGAAUGCUCGUUUUGUGCAUGUUAUAUGCACUAUGAAUAUAUAGCUGGUUGAAUAGGUUAUCCUAAAUAGAAGUAGGAAUACUAAAACACUAUAAUAUUGCAAAGCUGCAACAAAAGCUUGUUUAUUUGGUCUUUUUUAUUUAGAGUAUAAUAUUAUUUAAUAAAAUAUUAUCUAAGCAGUACUAUUUGCAAAUCCAUUGUGUAUAUAUUUUUUUAAUUUUCUCAUGGCUUUUCAAAAUUAUGUUCUUUGCUAGCUAAACAAAGAGAAAACUUCAAAUACCCCUUUGUGGUUUUACUUUUUUUUCACUUUAGUACCAUGUGGUUUAAAGUAUAUCAAGCUAGUAUCCUGUAGUUUUGCAUUUGUUCACUUUAGUACCCUGUGGUUUAAAGCGUAUCAAGUUAGUACCCUAUGGUUUCGCACUUUCUCACUUUAGUAUUCUGUGGUUUAAAAAUUACGGGAUACUCAUUUGAUACAAAAAUAAAACCACAGGGUACUAACUUGAUACAUUUUAAACCAUAGGAUACUAAAGUGAGAAAAUGUGAAACCACAGGUAUAACUUGAUACACUUUAAAUCACAUAAUACUAAAAUAAAAAUGUACGAAACCAGGGGGGAUUUUGAAGUUUUCCCCUAAACAAAAAUGUUUGACGUUUUCAAUUAUUAAAUAUUUAUAAUUAGUAAUUAUAAAAUAUUUUGCAGAGUUCGUGAUAAGCUAAUAAAAUAUGUGACAAAUGGUUAACAAUUAAGCCUUCAAACUACAUUCCCCGGGUGGGUCUCUAACGUGAGUAGUAAAAGUUGGCGAGUAAAUGCAUCUAUAUAUGUUAAUGUGAAUUGAGCUCUUAUAUUUUUAGAAGUAACAAGUCAUCCGUGCCCGUAGAUUUUCAAUUUUUUGAUUAAGAGAUGUGCGGUUAGAAUAAUAAUGGUCAUCCGAGAUUGAGCGGGUGCUUGGUCGAUAUUACAACAGAAUUAGAUUAUAGAGACAUAUUUUUAAGACACUUUUGUGUAAGUAUUUUAUUUAUACCAAAAUUUAAAAAAAAAAUCUACUAAAGCAGUAAAGCCUAAAUAUAAAGCUCAAUCCAAUCAAAAAUAAAAAGUUACUCUACUCAACCAACCCCACUUAGCCCACUCGGCCCAAUUGCAAAUAAAAAAAAAAAAAAUUGAUUACCAUCUCCCCUUUUCCUCCUCUGCUGCCGCAGCUGACAAGGUAGGGUUCCGGCUGUUGCAGUUCGGCCGCGAGGAUCUUGCAGGGAUCGUAGAGGGCUAUAAUUGACUCGUGUCCCUCUGCCACGGGUCGUUAGAGGAGUAGAUGCCAAAUAUUAAGACGGCCCCAUAUAUAGCGAUCCCACAUAUAGCAAUACUUUUAAAAAGUGUCGAUAAUUAAGCCAGCGGUAUUUUUUUUGACUUAUACCGAUAUUUAAAAGUGUCGCUAUAAAGUAUUUUUAUUGUAGUGUGAAUAAUAUGAUCUAACGGAUGGAAUAUAUGGUCAAAAAGAUAGAACUAACGAUAAAAAAUUUACAAGCAUCAAAUACUUAGUACUUUCAAAAGUACCAUAGCCUCUAAAUUUAAGCUUACACUGGCUCUAGCUACAAACCAUGCUCAGAUUAAUUUGACAUGCAGUCACAAAUUCUUAAAUUAUCUUAGAACUAGUAAAAAAUAAAAAAGAAAAACUUUAAAUACUACACUUGUGAUUUCACAUUUUCUCAAUUUAAAACCCUGUAGUUUAAAGUGUAUCAAUUUAGUGCCCUGUGGUUUCAUUUUAUCUUUUUAUUAUUGAUUCCACUAAUUUUUUUCAUUAAAUCAGUGAUAAAAUUAAAAUUAAAGGGUACUAAAGUGAAUAUUUAAUAAACCUAGAUGGAUUAUCUUAAAUUUUUUAUAUAUAAUUUUAUAAAAUAUUAACGAAAAAACUGAUAAAAAGAUAAAAGUAAAAUAACAAGCCACUAAUUUAAUACAUUUUAAACUACCGAAUAUUAAAAUAAAAAAAAAUGAAACAACAUAAAUGAUAUUUAAAGUUUACCCAAAUAAAAACAAAACAAACGAUAGAAGUGCCAAAUACACGCAAUUCCACCAAAUCAUCAGCAAUGCUCCAGUAUCGUUGUCUAGUAACCUUUCCCGAGGUUGAGGGUUCACGCCUCCAUGUGCGCGCAUAAAUUUGGAGCUCUAAAUUUCAAAGUUGGGGUUUAACAUGUACACUUGUUUUUAGAGAAAUAUCUAAAAUAUGAAAUCCAUUAAAAAAAAAUUUAAAAAAAAAGAGAAAAGAAAAAAGAAAAAGCUGCAUGUAUUCUAUCGAAUUAAUUAGAUACAAAGCCUUUAAAAGGCAUAAGGGUAGGAUUACUAAUUAAAGUUCCCAUGUCAACAAAUUGUACAAUCUGUGUAGGAAUCAUUUUAAUAAUCAUCCUUUAAUACACACCAGGCCAAAAGGUUUAAAGUUGCUAAUGAAUCCCAAAACUCAUUUAAAAAUCAACUAGAAUUAAUGUACCUUAAUUACUUGGUAGUAAUGGUACUGUAUGAAAAGCACAAGGGCAUCUUCUUUCUCUCUCUCUCUCUCUCUCUCUUUUUUCUUUUUCUUUUUUUGUUCCCCUUUCGGCUGGGAUGGUGACAGGAGCAGGUAGAGAUAAAGCCUCAUCUGCAUGCAUGCUUCCCUAAAAUCUCUCUAAAAUUUUAUAAUCAUUGUAGCUGCAGCACAUAAUUUCAUGCUCAAAAGAAAAGUUUGCCACUUAAUUUGGUCCUUGAAGACUAGAUUAUAUAUGUCUUUGGCAUUUUAAUUGUAAGGCGAAUGCCACUUUGAUUCUCAAACUUAAUUUAUUGUAAUUUCUGACUUUAUAGAUUAUUAUAGUUAAAUUCUACAAUAUGACUAAAUAAUGAUGUAUUGCUGAUGUGAUGGUGAUAUAAUAAUAUUAUAGUUGAUGAGAUGAUAGUAAUUAAGAUGUCAUAUUACUGGCAUAUCAGUAACAUAUAUUGAUAUAUAUAAAUAUCCCCACCUUGUAAACUAAAUUAGACUAUAAAACUUAAUUACAAUAAUUUUAAAAAUAAAUUGAAUAAAAAAUUAUAAUAAAUUAAAGUUUGAGAACCUUACGGUCAAGAACCAAAACUGAAAUUUAGCUUGAAAGUUAAAAAAAAAAUAAUAACUUUUAUAUAUGUAAAUUUUAUGAUUAUUUUGUUCAAGCAUCUAGUUUUUAAGUUAUACUAGCUUUUUUCUUUUGAGUAAACUUCAAUUUGCAUGCUUUGUGAUUUAGCUUAUUUUUACUUUACCAUCUUAUGGCCCAAAAAGUUAUAUUUAAUUAUUCUGUGAUUUAAUCCUUAUUUUUACCCAAAAAAAUUAUUAUCAAAUAGGAUGUAAAAUAAAGCUUUUUGAUAACCACAAAAUAAUUAAGCAUAACUUUUUAAAUCACAAAAUAGUAAAAUAAAAUUGAGCUGGACUAUUGAAAGUUUAUUUUAAUAAUUUUGCUUUUAUGUUGUGGAAAUUGCUAAAAAGAAAGAAAAGAAUUUUGAUAAAGUUGAAAGCUACACUCAUAUUACAAAUUAAUUUUAUGAAACCCUCGUUUAACCUUUGGAUGAUGAUGUGUAAUUUAUAGCAACAUUUGGAAAAGUUGGACAUAUUUUCUCCAUGUUAUCUAUUAACUUAAAUGAAUUCUCAAUAUUUGUUGCCACAUGGCAAGUUUUUCUUCACCCUCACUAGUAUGUAUUCUUUUUCUUCCCCUCAAUAAACUUUCAAUGUAUAUUUUAACGGUUCCACUAAUAAAACUUUCAAUUAAUCCCAAUGUUUGUUGCCACAUGGUAAGUUUUCCUUCACCCUUACUAGCAUGCGACUCUUUUUCUUCCCCUCGCUAAACUUUCAAUGUACAUUUUAACGGUUCCACUAAUAAAACUUUCAAUUAAUGUAUUUAAAUGGUUCCACUAACAAAGCUUUGAAUUAAUAUAUUUAAAUAGUCCCACUAUCAUGUAUUAUUCCAUUUCUAUCCACAAUUAUUCAUUAUGACCAUUUCCAUUCCCUUCACUAUACUUUUAAUUAAUGCAAACGAUUCUACUACCAAACUUUCAAUUACUAUGCUUAAAUGAUCUCAUUAUCAUCUUACAAUCCUAACAUUUUUAUCUUCAAUUAUUCAUUAUGGAAAUUUUCCUUCCCUCCACCAGAUUUUUAAUUUUUUAUCUCCAAUAUAUUCAUCAAUUCUUUAUCUCUCAUUUUUUGCUAUACACUAUUGCCUCCUUCCCUCGCUUCCUCCCCGUCUCUCACUAAUGCGCGCCCACUUCUCCUUUCCGCCAUGACGUUUGGUGAAUAUAUCAAGUGAGAUACACAAGAGAAUGUUUAAUAUUUUCUUGUUAUUAAUUAUUAUUACAAUUUCUACCCGCUGCAAAGCGCAGGUCCCUUCACUAGUAAUAAAUGUUUAUGCAACAAAAAUCUUGGUGCAUUGGUGCUUGGCAAAUGGGUGAUGUGUAAUUACACAAAAGGAAUCUCACCUAUAAAUAAUUAAUUAAUUGAUUAUCAAUUAACCUGAGACUUUGUUCUUGAUAUAUAUUGGUGACUAUGUGGUAUUUCAUAAAAACCAGUGAAGUAACCCGCGCGAUGCGAUGGAUAGAUAAUAAAAAUAAAAAUAAAAAUUUAUAGAAAAAAUAAAAAUACGGGAAUAUAGAUAUCCUAUGAUUGUUGAGAAUGAGACAGCCGGCGAUGACAUCGUACGCCGUUCUUGUCAAGGACACAUGAGGAGUAACGGAUAGAGGCCAAAGUGCUCUGAGCGGUGAGCAAGAGGAAAAAGGAGGAAAAAAAAUGAAAAAUCUAAAAUCAUAGGUGGAGAAAUCCAAAAUCACUACACAGGUGAGGUGAGGGAAGAGGAAGAGAUGUCGUUAUCGGUUUGAAAGAUAAAAGAAAAUAAGAGAUGGAGAGAAAAGAGAGAGAGAGAAAGAGAGUUGAAAGAUAUGGUUACGAGGGAGAGGAAGAAUUUUACUAAGAUAAAAGAGAGAAAAAAAAAAAAUAGUGUGUCCCACUGCCCUCAAAUGAAGGUAGUACAUCCACGUUGGAUUUGAUCAUGAGAAAUCAUGUAUAGGUGUAGAGGUAUGGAUAAAGAUAUUAAUUAUUUAGUUUAGUCCAUUGAAG
rnacentral:lncRNA from 1 species